GACGAACCGUCCUAACGUUGUUCGGAAUCACUGGGCUUAAAGGGCGCGUAGGCGGGUUCCCAAGUCGGUGGUGAAAUCUUUCGGCCCAUCCGGAAAACAGCCGCCGAUACUGGGAGUCUUGAGGGAGGUAGGGGUCGAUGGAACUUCCUGUGGAGCGGUGAAAUGCGUAGAUAUCGGAAGGAACGCCGGUGGCGAAAGCGAUCGACUGGACCUUUUCUGACGCUGAGGCGCGAAAGCCAGGGGAGCAAACGGG
rnacentral:rRNA from 1 species